GACGAACGCUGGCGGCGUGCCUAAUACAUGCAAGUCGAGCGGACGGAUGGGAGCUUGCUCCCAGACCGUCAGCGGCGGACGGGUGAGUAACACGUGGGCAACCUGCCUGUAAGACUGGGAUAACUCCGGGAAACCGGGGCUAAUCCCGGAUAACUCUUUCCCUCACUUGAGGGAAAGCUGAAAGAUGGCAUCUCGCUAUCACUUACAGAUGUGCCCGCGGCGCAUUAGCUAGUUGGUCUGGUAACGGCUUACCAAGGCGACGAUGCGUAGCCGACCUGAGAGGGUGAUCGGCCACACUGGGACUGAGACACGGCCCAGACUCCUACGGGAGGCAGCAGUAGGGAAUCUUCCGCAAUGGACGAAAGUCUGACGGAGCAACGCCGCGUGAGUGAUGAAGGUGUUCGGAUCGUAAAACUCUGUUGUCAGGGAAGAACAAGUACCGGAGUAACUGCCGGUACCUUGACGGUACCUGACCAGAAAGCCACGGCUAACUACGUG
rnacentral:rRNA from 1 species